rnacentral:rRNA from 1 species
UUCGGGUCAACUGCGACCUGAGUGGCGAAGCGAAAGCGAUAAGCAUUCCACCUGGGGAGUACGCCGGCAACGGUGAAACUCAAAGGAAUUGACGGGGCCCGCACAAGCGGAGGAACAUGUGGUUUAAUUCGAUGAUACGCGAGGAACCUUACCCGGGCUCAAACGGGAGCGGAAUGGCGGAGAGACCCGUCAGUCUACGGACCGCUUCCGAGGUGCUGCAUGGUUCGUCCCGCCGAAGGUGGGGUUGAUGAUUAGGGUAAAGUCGUAACAAGGUAAC